UUAAAGUAAAUGUUUGGGGCUUCGUGUAAAUCUUUCAUCCGAUGAAAACGUUUGUGAAUUGCUGGCUUCUGACUCAUGAGUCACGCUCUCUGGUUAAGUUUGUGUCUUCAUGUUUCUGUGUGUUUGGCUUCGGUCCUGCUGGAGAGCGUGAAGCAGACCCACCCACUCACACACACACACACACACACACACACACACACACACGGCCCUCCUCCUCCAGAUACAGGACACUUUUGUUCUGUGUUUUCAUCCGGAGUCCAGCGAGUCGAGAGCGAGAGACAGUGUGACAGAAGAGACGCUUCCACAGACGCUUCAGAGCUCAAGUCAAAGGUCUGUCAUGGGCCGCUGGUCGACACGUCUGGCUCUUCUGAUGCUCCUCAUUGGUCAGAUUUCCGCAGGAAUCUCUCCAUCAAGCCCAGAAGAGUUGAACGAAACAAAUGUGUGGCAUUACUGCUUCAUCAGCGGUUAAAGGGACAGUUCAUCCUCAAACCAUCGUUCUGUCAUCAUUCUGUGCUUCUUUUGUGUUCUGAAGAAGAAAGAAAGUCAUACGGGUUUGAAACGACAUGAAGGCAAGAAAACGAGAACUUUUUGGGUGAAGUCUCCUUUGAAGAAUAAUUCUGCGUUUCUAUAAUUGUGGACAUGAAGACGCGG
rnacentral:lncRNA from 1 species